rnacentral:rRNA from 1 species
CCCUUAGAUGUUCUGGGCCGCACGCGCGCUACACUGACGAAGUCAGCGAGCAUGUCCUACGCCGACAGGUGCGGGGAAUCUUGUCAAACUUCGUCGUGAUGGGGAUUGAUUAUUGAAAUUCUUGAUCAUCAACGAGGAAUUCCUAGUAAGCGCAAGUCAGCAGCUUGCGUUGAUUACGUCCCUGCCCUUUGUACACACCGCCUGUCGCUACUACCGAUUGAAUGGUUUAGUGAGAUCUUCGGAUUGGCGCCACUGCGGCUCAGCAAUGGGCUCGGUGGAUGCCGAAAAGUUGAUCAAACUUGAUCAUUUAGAGGAAGUAAAAGUCGUAACA